UGCAAUUUCAUUGUAAUACAGCAACUUGAGCUUACCCUCUACCCUUGCUAGACCACAAGCGUCACAAAGACAAGGAGCAUUAUUCCAUCACUGAUGUCUCCCACACACCUAGACCAAGGCCUGGCACAUAGAAGGAGCAUGUAUCAAGAGACCGAAGAGGGUGAGACUGGAUGCUGGAAACUGGAAAUGAAGGUCAAACACAGGCAAGGACUGGAUUACACAGGAAGUUAGAAAACAGGAGCAAUAAUUCAGAUUCAUUCCAAGAAUGCAAUUUUGAUGAGUACAUGGGAGUAGUUCAAUGGAGGAACCACAGAUAUAACCAAGAAAUUCUUCUUGUUUACUCUUCGUUUGAAAAUGUGGCAUUCAAUUAUAACACAUCUGAAGCAUGGUUAUAGGGGCUCCGUCCUGCAGGAAGAUCACCGCUACUGUCAGAAAGACAACUUUAAGACUUCAGCAAUCCUACAUCAAAAGGCUAUCUUCACUGAUGGCUGCUUCUUUGGGGACAGAAUCCCAAACUAUGUAAGUUUCUGAGAGCACUCCAAGCAUUCAAAGCACGUUCAUAAAAGUAUUAAAAUUUCUGUGAUUUUUAAA